rnacentral:rRNA from 1 species
GACGAACGCUGGCGGCGCGCCUAACACAUGCAAGUCGAACGGAGCUGAGAGAAGCUUGCUUUUCUUAGCUUAGUGGCGAACGGGUGAGUAACGCGUGAGUAACCUGCCCUGGAGUGGGGGACAACAGUUGGAAACGACUGCUAAUACCGCAUAAGCCCACGAUCCGGCAUCGGAUUGAGGGAAAAGGAUUUAUUCGCUUCAGGAUGGACUCGCGUCCAAUUAGCUAGUUGGUGAGGUAACGGCCCACCAAGGCGACGAUUGGUAGCCGGACUGAGAGGUUGAACGGCCACAUUGGGACUGAGACACGGCCCAGACUCCUACGGGAGGCAGCAGUGGGGGAUAUUGCACAAUGGGGGAAUCCCUGAUGCAGCGACGCCGCGUGGAGGAAGAAGGUUUUCGGAUUGUAAACUCCUGUCGUUAGGGACGAUAAUGACGGUACCUAACAAGAAAGCACCGGCUAACUACGUG